UACAAUGACCAGAGGAUGCAGGACUCAGUUUUCCUAAAGCUUCUUUUAGGUGGUUCGAAGUUCUAUGAUCAUAAGACGCAUUCAGGUCGAUCUCACUCUUCAUGUUCGUGCCCG